rnacentral:rRNA from 1 species
UCAGUCGACUCCUACGGGGAGGCAGCAGUGGGGGAAUAUUGGGACAAUCGGGGGGGAACCCUGAUCCAGCCAUGCCGCGUGUGUGAAGAAGGCCUUAUGGUUGUAAAGCACUUUAAGCGAGGAGGAGGCUACUGAGACUAAUACUCUUGGAUAGUGGACGGUUACUCGCAGAUAAGCACCGGCUAACUCUGUGCCAGCAGCCGCGGUAAUACAGAGGGGUGCGAGCGUUAAUCGGAUUUACUGGGCGUAAAGCGUGCGUAGGCGGCGUUUUUAAGUCGGAUGUGAAAUACCCCGAGCUUAACUUGGGAAUUGCAUUCGAUACUGGGAAGCUAGAGUAUGGGAGAGGAUGGUAGAAUUCCAGGUGUAGCGGUGAAAUGCGUAGAGAUCUGGAGGAAUACCGAUGGCGAAGGCAGCCAUCUGGCCUAAUACUGACGCUGAGGUACGAAAGCAUGGGGAGCAAACAGGAUUAGAUACCCUGGUAG